UAGUCAAAAACUGUGGUGAGUGCAGCACUAUUUUCCUCUUUAGAGUAUCUUCACAUCCUGAUAUUAAUUUAUAACUAAGGUGGUCUAAAUGUAAAAAUAUAAAUGCAUGUCUUCUGUGGAAGACUCAGGACCGUAAAAUGUUCGUCCAAUCAUUGCAUUCGGACCGCAGUGUUUUUACAAGAGGGAGGAAUUUGAUGAAAUGGGUUCGACACAACGAACAUGUUUCUUCUCGAAGGGCCUUUAUUUUGGACAGGAUAGUAAUUGAAAGAAGAGAGAGGAGCGACAGGAUGGAGAAAGGUCCGCUAGCCAGGACUCGAACUCGGGAAGCCCGGAGCACAAUGGUCGACCAACUCAAACAUCUUAAGGCAGGGGUCAUCACACUCUGUCCUGGAGGGCCGGUGUCCUGCAGAAUUCAGCUCCAACUUGCCUCAACACACCUGCCUUGAAGUUUCAAGGAUACCAAGCAAGACCAAGGUGGUGGUUCAGGCCAGUAACCCUGGAGAAUUUUCCCCCGAUGACAAUUGAUGAUCUCACUGAGGCCAAUAACCUGGAAGAUUGCAUCACCCUGGUUCCCUCGACAAAAAGCUAGCAUUGCUAGGAUGUUUCUAAUGUCUUUUGGAUAGUUAGAAAAUACGGUCUGUGACCAAUAGAAGUGUAUGAUUCCUACACA